AGAGAAAAGAGUUUAUUUAUUUUUUCUUUAAAAGUUAAUUAUAUAUGACACUCUUAUUUGUUGUUUAUAAAUAACAAGUGUUAUGUGCGUCUCUUCUCUUCUCCUUACUUAUUACUCAAUGUUUUUGGUACAACCACCCCACCACAUCUCAACAAUACUCUUGCACCUUCCCACUCUCCCACCACCUCACCAAAAAUCUCUUGCAACUUCUCUUAUCAAUUUGAAUCUAACAAGCUAUGUCUGCUCAAGCAUCUCUAGUCUCGAGAACCCAAUUGAAGAAGAAUCAGAGGAUAAAGUUCUGCCGCCAAAAUUCAAGUUCAAAGUCUCAGGGGUUCUUCAAUCCUCAAUGAUUCCCUUGUGAGUAAUGAUACUGGGGUCCUUUGCUUUGUUAUCAUAUUUGCAACAUUUAAAUAAUAUGACAUCUGAAUGUGCAUUGCAGUGGAUUUAUAAGGCACACAUUCAAUUGGAUUUUUCUAAGUACUUGCGUGCAGACACAUGUUAGUGCUCAUCUGUCUGCUUUUUUUUUGGUAGAUAGACGAAAUGGCAAAGCCAUUAUAAACUCACACACACAAGUGGAGGAACCGGGGUUCGAACCCCAAUCAUGACAUCCGGCUUAACAAUUUUGGCAUUUUGCCAGUCGAGCUAGGACUUGUGGAUGUCUGCUUUACUUAGUCUAUAUAUCAUUUAUAAAUUUGUAAAAAUAUAUUAAUGGAAGUUACGAAACUUUACGCGGUUAUUUGAAAAAAAAAUUCAGUUAUUUGAUUGGGUAAAAGGACAUAAUUGUGAAUUGAAUGAUUUAAAUUAACGGUAAAAUUGAAGAAAAAAAAUGUUUACACCAGAACUUGGCGCCACUUUAUAUAUUUUCGAUCCCAUUUUAAGUUGAAUCCUGUUGAUGUGAUAUCCAUUUAUUAACUUUCUUAAUGCCUGGAUUCACAAUUGUUACUUGAAGAUGUGGGUAUUGUAGGUUUACCUUGAAGAAGAGAGGUGCUCUUCCUGGAGUUUAUGACUAUUUCGAUAACCAGCGAAAAAUUGCUUUGCACUACUCAGCUGAUCUGCCAUGUAUUAAUGUCAGGAAGCCAAAACGACCCACGUAUGUCCUAAUUGAGAUAUGCUCAUUGGUAUCCCUGAAACACUACACCAAAGCCCUGUCCAGACUUUAAUGAUCCUCUCUUGUGCAAAAGUCAAGGCAGAAGCCUAAGAACGGAUGAGGGUACUGUGGGGAUGUAAGUCUCUUUGAUAUAUAUCGAGUAAUGAAUUGUCAUAUGAAUGUCGCAUCACUGAAUAUCAUUUACAGGCGUUAAAAACAAGAGACUAUGGCUCUGAACCCAUGAAAAUUGUGCAACCUGUUAAAAUAGAGAAAUGGUAUGUGGUGAACUUUUCUGCGCGAUAUGAUGUGCAGGGACUUGUGAGGGUUCUGAUCAAAUGUGGAGGAAUGAAAGGAAUUGUAAGUUCUAUUACAGCAUAUUUACUGAAAUAUAGAUAGGGGCUAACUCCAUUCUGUUUCGUUUGCUCUUGGUAACUUGUUGAACAACCUUUUGAUGUCUUUGAAGAAAAUGGUCAGGUUAGGCUUGCUCCGCCUGUGGUCAGAGUUGAGAAAAUGCUUGAACCCGUUCAGUCUAAACUUCCUGGGGCUCCCAAGUUUCUCCUUUGUCUGCUCCCUGAGAGGAAGAACACUGAUCUAUAUGCUCUCUACCUCUUCAACAAGUCUGAUGUCAUCAUAACACGGAAGAUAAAUCAUGUGCAUUCCAGGCGGCUCAAUCUGACCACCAAAUUGGAUAACCUCAUCCUACAAUCAUUGGACAAAUGAGUAUACAAGAAAAUGCAAGGCAGUCAUGUUGUUUAAGGAUUUUAUUUAAACUAAAACACCACAUGCAAGCUCUUGAGCUCAAGGAUUCUAGACAUUGUAUAAUGAAAAAAAUAUUGUAACAUUCAACAUAUUAUACCUGCGCAAUAAGGGCAACCAA